rnacentral:hammerhead_ribozyme from 1 species
AUCCAGCUGACGAGUCCGAAAUAGGACUUAACGCGCGUCUUGGAU